rnacentral:rRNA from 1 species
ACGGAGGGCGCAAGCGUUGCUCGGAAUCACUGGGCGUAAAGGGAGCGCAGGCGGUCGUGCAAGUCGGAUGUGAAAGCCCUCGGCUCAACCGAGGAAUUGCAUUCGAAACUGCUCGACUUGAGUGCGGUAGAGGAAAGCGGAGUUCCUGGUGUAGCGGUGAAAUGCGUUGAUAUCAGGAGGAACACCAGCGGCGAAGGCGGCUUUCUGGACCGACACUGACGCUGAGUGUGCGAAAGCUAGGGGAGCAAACGG